rnacentral:ncRNA from 1 species
CUUACCGGAGGCUUUAUGGAUCCCGAUCCCACCCCUCUCCCCCGACGGAGAGCCCCUUCACGCCGGUAAGCCUGUUUUCACUGCCUUACCGGAUGCGUAAGGCAGUGACGUC